GAGUUUGAAUGUGGUCUCAAUAAAUCUGGAAGAAAACCAAGGUCUGGAGGAGAAAAAAAUUGUCCUUCUGGAGCAUUAUAAUACUGACAUGGAAGAUUCCUUCUAUGGGGCGACAGAAUGGAAGCUGAAGGACAUAUGCCAGACCCCAGUAUUAAGAAGUUGUUGACUUUUUGAAACAAACAGCUUUCUUCUAGCUCUUUUGGGCCAACAUAUAAGGAUUGCAAAGCUGUAAUUAGGACAUGACUUCAAAUUUCACCUCAAUUACUGUUUGGUGACAUUUCUUUCUCUCUUGUAUAUUUACAGAAAUUAUAAAGCCUUAGUUCAACAAAAAUCUUUUGUUCCCUUCCACACAUACCCCAGCUAAGGGAGGGUCAUGCUUGUCAUUUUUACUUCAUGCUUUAAACUCAGAGGUUAAAAUAUGAUGUUUAAAUGGUGACAGAGAAGUCUCAAUGAAGAAAUUGGGGUCUUUGACCUCAAUCUCUGCUGUUUCGGGCAGCGGGGGUUGGGGAUCAUUCUGUGUUUGCUAGCUGAACCACAGUAACCUGUACCUGACAAUUUAACCUAUUGGGUUUUGAGCAUUUUCAGAUCAGAUCAAAAGCAUCAAAGUCUGUGUAAAUAAUGCAUUGCAGUAAAUUGUCUCUCAUUUAAAACUAACACCAGAAAAACAACUACUUAAUUAGAAAAAAAAUAUACUGUUAGCAGUGAUGUUUAACAUAUAUUUUAAUCAUUUCAUCUCCCACCUCCCAGAUAAGUCUCCCUGUAUUUCCAUAUUAGAUUUGGGUUUAGCUUGUGUGUGGUCAUAUGAGACUGGGCAGGGCACUGACUGAUAUCAGAGGACUACACAUGCAUAAGACAAGAUGAAAUGAGAAACUGAUUACAUGAAAGUCAAGUGUAAAGUAACAAUAAAGAUUGUCUGGAAAACUAUUUAAAAUACCAUUAAAGCAUGGAAAGGUUUGGGCUUUUUUAAUACUAUUGUUCAGCAAAAAUUCUUUUCUGAAGUGUAAAUUGUGGAAACAUUGAAAUAAAUGUAUAACUAAGA